rnacentral:rRNA from 1 species
UACGUAGGGGGCUAGCGUUGUCCGGAAUCAUUGGGCGUAAAGAGCGUGUAGGCGGCCCGGUAAGUCCGCUGUGAAAGUCGGGGGCUCAACCCUCGAAUGCCGGUGGAUACUGUCGGGCUAGAGUGCGGAAGAGGCGAGUGGAAUUCCUGGUGUAGCGGUGAAAUGCGCAGAUAUCAGGAGGAACACCAGCGGCGAAGGCGGCGCUCCGGGCCGGUACUGACACUGAGGAGCGAAAGCGUGGGUAGCAAACAGG